rnacentral:rRNA from 1 species
GACGUAGGGCGCGAGCGUUAUCCGGAUUUAUUGGCGUAAAGAGCUCGUAGGCGGCUUGUCGCGUCGACUGUGAAAUCCCGCGGCUCAACCGCGGGUCUGCAGUCGAUACGGGCAGGCUAGAGUUCGGUAGGGGAGACUGGAAUUCCUGGUGUAGCGGUGAAAUGCGCAGAUAUCAGGAGGAACACCGAUGGCGAAGGCAGGUCUCUGGGCCGAUACUGACGCUGAGGAGCGAAAGCGUGGGGAGCGAACAGG